CCUACGGGUGGCAGCAGUGAGGAAUAUUGGUCAAUGGGCGCGAGCCUGAACCAGCCAAGUAGCGUGAAGGAUGACUGCCCUACGGGUUGUAAACUUCUUUUAUAAAGGAAUAAAGUGAGGCACGUGUGCCUUUUUGUAUGUACUUUAUGAAAAAGCAUCGGCUAACUCCGUGCCAGCAGCCGCGGUAAUACGGGGGAUGCGAGCGUUAUCCGGAUUUAUUGGGUUUAAAGGGUGCGUAGGCGGUGUGUCAAGUCAGCGGUAAAAUUUCGGGGCUCAGCCCCGUCGUGCCGUUGAAACUGACGACCUUGAGUGAGUGAGAGGGAAGCGGAAUGCGUGGUGUAGCGGUGAAAUGCAUAGAUAUCACGCAGAACGCCGGUUGCGAAGGCAGCUUACCGGCGCUCAACUGACGCUGAGGCACGAAAGUGCGGGUAUCGAACAGGAUUAGAUACCCGUGUAGUC
rnacentral:rRNA from 1 species